GAGACAGCAGCCGCCGCGGUAAUACGGAGGGUGCGAGCGUUAAUCGGAAUUACUGGGCGUAAAGCGUACGCAGGCGGUUUGUUAAGUCAGAUGUGAAAUCCCCGAGCUUAACUCGGGAACUGCAUUUGAAACUGGCAGGCUAGAGUCUCGUAGAGGGGGGUAGAAUUCCAGGUGUAGCGGUGAAAUGCGUAAAGAUCUGGAGGAAUACCGGUGGCGAAGGCGGCCCCCUGGACGAAGACUGACGCUCAGGUACGAAAGCGUGGGGAGCAAACAGGAUUAGAUACCCCUGUAGUCCCUGUCUCUUAUAC
rnacentral:rRNA from 1 species